AUGUUCUCCUGCAACACCAGCACUUCUGGUCAGUCUACCUUCCUCCUCACUGGUUUUCCAGGCCUGGAAGCCUCUCAUCAUUGGGUUUCCAUCCCCAUCAACCUCUUCUGUGUGGUUUCCAUCCUGGGUAAUAAUAUCAUCCUCUUCCUGAUCCACACAGAUCCAGCCUUACGUGAACCAAUGUAUAUCUUCCUGUCCAUGUUGGCAGCCUCUGAUCUGGGCCUCUGUGCCUCCACCUUCCCCACCAUGGUGCGUCUCUACUGGCUGGGAGCUCGUGAGCUGCCCUUUGAUCUCUGUGCAGCACAGAUGUUCUUCAUCCAUACCUUCACCUAUGUGGAGUCUGGUAUACUGCUGGCCAUGGCCUUCGAUAGCUUUAUUGCCAUCUGGGACCCUCUGCAUUAGGCCAUAAUCCUUACCUGCUUAGCCACAGCCAAGGUGGGAACUGCCAUUCUGGUGAGGGCUGUUCUGCUCAACCUCCCAGGACCUAUCCUCCUGCAGCAGCUGCUCUUUCCCAAGAUCAGCGCUCUCUCUCACUGCUACUGCCUGCACUGUGACCUCGUGGGGUUGGCUUGCUCAGACACCCAGAUCAAUAGCCUGGUUGGCCUGGUUUCCAUCCUCUUCUCACUGUGCCUUGACUCCUUCCUCAUCAUGCUUUCAUAUGCCCUGAUCCUACGAACCAUGCUGGGCAUUGCAUCCCCUGGGGAAUGGCUCAAGGCACUCAACACGUGUGUCUCACACCUCUGCAUUGUUCUUAUCUUUUAUUUGCCCAAACUGGGGCUGUCUGUGUUUCACUGAGUAAAGAAGCAUGACUACCCUGCUCUGGUAGUGCUUAUGGCCAACCUACACUUCUUGGUCCCACCCUUCAUGAACCCCAUUGUGUAUUGUGUCAAGUCUAGGCAGAUCCUUCAGAGCCUCCUAAAGCGCUUCCAGCAGAAGAGGAUUGAUGCUUUCUAA
rnacentral:sRNA from 1 species